rnacentral:rRNA from 1 species
UACAGAGGUCUCAAGCGUUGUUCGGAUUCAUUGGGCGUAAAGGGUGCGUAGGCGGCGCGGUAAGUCGGGUGUGAAAUCUCGGGGCUUAACUCCGAAACUGCAUUCGAUACUGCCGUGCUUGAGGACUGGAGAGGAGACUGGAAUUUACGGUGUAGCGGUGAAAUGCGUAGAUAUUGGGAAGAACACCGGUGGCGAAGGCGGCGCUCUGGACCGAGACUGACGCUGAGGCGCGAAAGCGUGGGGAGCAAACAGG